rnacentral:lncRNA from 1 species
AAGGGUGUGUUUGGUUCCACAUAAAACUGUGGAAAAAAAAUUUUCGGUGGAAAAAAAAUUUUCGAUGGGAAAAAAGUUUUACGUUGUUUGUGUUUGGUUUGUAGGAAAAGAAAAAUAGUUUUCCGUAACGGUUGUUUGGUUGAAAGGAAAAGAAAAAAAAUAUUUAAUAUAUUUUUUUUAUAUAUAUUAUAUAUUAUUAAUAUAUAAUAAUUAUCAUAAUAUAUUUAAUUAUUAUAAUUUAUAUUUAUAAACAAGAUAUAUUUAAAAUAUAUUAUAUAAUAAAUAUAUAAUAUAAUAUAUAAUAAUAAUAAUAUAUAUUUAAUAUUAUAAAAUACAUUAUUAUAUAUUUAUAAAUAAAAUAAAAUUAUAUAUAUAUAAGUGAUCCAGUGUGGACCACUCACUUCUGUCCACGAGCUCUUACAUGAGCUCGUGGACCCCGAUGCAAGGAAGCCCCAUGAGCCGCAAUAGUUUUCGUUUUCCGCCGAGAUUCGGCGGAAAAAGAAAAGCUGGCUUUUACAUGAAAUCUGUAAAAUAAUUUUUCCUGUAAAAUUUUUUUACGUCGAACCAAACGCUAGAAAAAUGAUUUUCCACUGAAAAAAAAAUUUUCUGACCAUUUUUACGGGGAACCAAACGCCCCCUAAGCUUCUCUUGAUAAUUAAAGCAUCACAUAACCUCUUUGGAAUCAACUGACUGUCAAAUACCUCAAUAUCUAUGUCUAUUUCUACAUCUCAUUUUCCAUAAAUAUACUAUAUUCUAUGAUAGAGGCAAGCAAUUUAAUCUAAAAGCGACUCGACCCAAGCACGAGUAAAUGUCAAAGAAGGAAUUACGUAAUGCCAAAAUUCACAGGCCCUUCCUUAUUGACCUGUAAAAGUUAGAGUUAGAGAUAUUGAUGACUAUACUAGACUGCCAAUUGAGACUUGGGUUUUGCUUAAGUUAACCUGAUUACAACCUUUAUGUAUCAAUCAUCUAUAGGAAGAUUGUAAAUUAGAAAGUGAAAAACAAUGUUCAAGAAGAAAACUAAUCUUCAGAUAUAAAAGAAAAAAUGUGGUCAAGUUAAGCUCAGCCAUUAAUGCCCUAAGUGCUUCUAUUCUGAAUCAGAAGAUACUGAUGACUAUCAUCUAUGCAACUACAAGGAUACUCAUAUAGUCUAGAAGUUCUAUCCAUCCCUUCCUUGACCACUGCAGACCUAAAGCCACAUAAUAGGUUUUAUCAACCCCGUAUUUAGCCGUAAAAGAUCCUGAUUGCUCAACUACUUCAUGCCAAUAGAAUAAAUUUGAUAUAUAAAGUGUGAAAUAUUAGAUAUACUUUCUUGAUUCCUAUGGUAUGUUAACUAGCUUAGCAUGUGGUUCACAACUUGCAAGAGGUCUACCUGGAUAGACAUUCAAAAUAAAACAUGAUUCAACUUGUGAAGAUAUAGAAAGGAGUCACAUGAACUAUAAUUCCAUAAGCUCAAAUGCUUGGAUAAAAACCUUCAACUUUAAUUUGGAAACAAGCAGACUCAUGGAUGCCAAUGCAACAGUAUACCUGUAUACUUUUUUCCAAGAGUAAAGCAACUCAAAAGCUAUUUCAUAGAAAAAUGCAUAUAUUUAAAGUAAUGGCAACAAUCUAAAAGAAAAUGCUGUUCCAAACCUUCCGAACAUGAAGCAAUAAUCGUGCUCCCAUCACCACUACCAUAUGUUGCACAAGCUGCAGUUAAGUUCAACACCGACUUCUCUGCAUGGAUCUUAUGAUGCUCCCACUUAACGUCAGGGGGAAGAAUCUUGAUCUCUUGCCCUGCUGGCUUGUUACUCACAUCUGCAUACAUAUACAAUGAGGAUCCUGAUAAAGUCUGAGCAGCCACCACCACAGACGUCGCUCCUUCCGAGAAGGCAAUGGCUGUUGGAUGAGCCCCAGCAGGCAAGUUUAGCCUCAGCAUCCUGCACAAAUCUCACCACAUUCAAAUCUUCAACUCAAGAUAUAAUCAUCAUCAUCAUCAAAUGGGAAGACACCAUCGCUAGAUUAGUCACAGUUUUCUAGUAUGGCAGUUUUUCUUUUGACACAGUUAGGGCCUUUAGCACCACUGUAGAUUGAAGUGUUUUUUUUGAUAAUUUACUAUCUGAGAAGUACCUGUAAGAGAAAUAUAAUAGUAAAAUUUCUCUAACAAAUUCUCUCCACAUAAGUAGAAGCACAAAAUUAGAGCUUAUGCCUUGAGACCUCAGAAUCUAAUUUCUGAUUCCCACUACAGCAGAUGCAGAAGUGAGGCAAACCAGGCCUUAGCAGUCUAAUAUGAAAUGUGGAUCGAAAGUACUAAUAGUGUAAAUUAAACAUUAUAAUCAUCACAGAUAUCAAAUAAAAAAAAGGAUAAUUAUCACACAAGAACAAAGAAAGAGAGAAUCCCUACUUGAAGCUUUUACUUGAGGCAUCAUCUAUCCGGAAAACCCUCACCACUCCAUCCGCGCAAGCUACAAAACAAAAAUUCUCACACCAAUACAUAAUCAUCCCCUAAAAGAUCAUAUACAGCAAAAUUGCAAGUAAAUCAGAUCGUUCGAGUUCGAGAGCUCACCAGUGGUCAGGUUCCGGCCAUCGGAGGAGAAGGCGAGGGCGGUCACCGAAUCACUGUGGCCCUUCAAGGUGUUAACAUCGAGAGGAUGGUGCUUCUUGUUAACAUCCUGCGAUUCCCGAUCGAAUCAUGAGAAGAAAAUAGAGAGAGAGAGAGAGAGAGAGAGAGAGAGAGUAGGGCUCGAAGGAACCUUAUCGGCGGGGUGGUGGUGGUGGUGGUGAUGGGGGCGGUGAGGGGGCUUCUUCGCGGCGGCGGUGGAGGGAGGAGGAGGGUUUCGGGCGGCGGCGGCCGCGGCGGUGGCGGUGGUGGGUUGGGCGAUGGUGCCGAUCUCGGCGCGUUUGCGGCGGAAGUAGUCGGCGAGGAAGAGGAGGGCGAGGACGGCGCCGACGACGGCGGAGAGGAGGGGCAGGGAGAGGGAGGAGAGGAUCGAUGGGAGGGUCGAGGAGGAGGAGGAGGAGGAGGGGGUCGUCGCCAUUGUCGCGUGCUCGGCUAGAAGAAGAUGACGAAGAUGAUGAUGCUGAUAAUGAAAUUGAGAAAGGGGUUUCGCUUCUGCGUCGCGUCGAGCUCACACGACGAAGAAGGUGAAAAGGGUACAAUGCUCCAUCAGCCCCUAAACUUUAUCAAAAAAUCAUUUUAGUUCUCGGACUUUUAAAAUUUUGACAUUUAAUGAAAAAUUUUAGUUGCACGUUCCAAAAGUAGUGUAAAUCCUACGUAUUCAUUCUAAAGUUCACAAAGAUUUAAAUAAUAUUUAUUAAAAAUAAAAAAUUAAUGUCACAAGUAGAGAAUUAAUAGUUUUAAAUUUAUUUAUAGUCCCUAAAUUUUUAAGAAUAGUUCAUUUUGGCUCUUUUUCAGAAUAUAAAAUUUAUAUUUAAUUUAAUCUGUAUGUAUGUACAUCAUAAGUUAUUGUUAUAUUUUAUCUAUCUUAUAUUUUUUAUUUAAUUUUAUGUAAAAUAAAAAUCUAUAAAAUAAAACUAUAUGAAAGCUCAAUAACAUGAGCUAACAUGGCAUACCCUCCUUAUUUUGGGAGAAUAGGUUAAUGUUAAUGACUAAUGCUAAUAAAAAAUUAAGAAAAGGUAUGAAACUGAUGAAUCUUAGAUUUUAUUAAAUAACUUAAUUAAUACUAUUAAGAAACAUAUUAAUUGUGCAUUAAGUACAGGAUAACUGAAAAUUGCAAAAGGCAUUUUUGGUUUUUUUUAAAAAGUUUUAAAAAAUCUAAUUAAAAUCCACAACCCUAUAUGAACAAUAUAAUUUUAUUUUUAACACAUCAAGAGUGAAUUGUGAAUAUAAAAUUCAUACUAUGAAAAAGAGAAAUUCUUAAGGGGCAAUACUUAAUAAGACUGAAAUAAAGAUAAAGAAUUGAGUCAAUAAAUACAUGAUAAAUAAGUAUAGAAAUAUACUAUAUGUAUGUAAUAAAUCAUUUUUGAAUAAUAAAUAUGUUGUCGAAGAUCACUAAUAUAGCAAUUGAAAGUAUGAGGAUCAAAAUAAGCUUGAUAAAAAGGUUUGGGACUACUGGCGGAAGUCAUACGGAAUGUGUCUGGUUUCACAUAAAAUUGUGAAAGAAAUUCGAUGGAAAAAAAAAUUCGGAAAAAAAUAAGUUUUACCCUCUUUAGAGUUUGAUCUGUAAGAAAAAAAAUUAGUUUUUCAUUAUAAUUGUUUGGUUGAAAGAAAAAAUAAAUAAAUUUAAAAACUAUUAUAUGUAUUUUUUAUUUUAUAUAUUGUAUAUUAUUGAUAUAUAAUAAUUAUUUGUUAUACAAUAAGUAUAUAAUAAUAUAAAUAUAAUAUAUAACAAGAAUUGAGCUAGAAUACUUGUAGAAGUAUCACCCACUGGUACUUCUAGGUUUUUAGCCUUUGGAUCUACUCCUUGAUUACUAAUAAUCUUUAGAUCAAACACUAUUCCACCUACCACCACCUAUCAUCAUCAUUUCAACCUUAUAUUUUUCCAUCAAAGAGUUAAAAACUCAAAAACACCAAUCGCUCGGUGCUUUGGAGAGUAUUAUAGCUCAACUCUAUAUAACAAUAUCUAUAUGUAACACUAUAAAAAAAAUAAUAUUUAUAAAUAAAAUUAUAUAUAUAUAGUCCGGCUGCUAUGUUAUCGAUAACACCAAGCACUUGGUGCUAUCAAGUUUUCUGUCGUUAGAUUAACCCUUUUAAUUAUUUUUACCUGUUAGAUUAUACUAUUCAACUAACCACCCACUCAACCCUAAAGGAUCCACAUUAUCUUAACCGCACAUUUCUCAAUCCAAGGGUCGAAAACUUAAUAGCACCAACUGUUUGGUGCUAUUGAUAGUAUUCCAGCCUAGUUCUAUAUAUAUAUAUAUAUAUAUAGAGAGAGAGAGAGAGAGUACGUCUCCCGUGCUUUCGAAAGUACGGAGGCCUCCUUGCUUGUAAGUUGUUUUCGAUUAUAGGACAUCUGAUUCGACGAUCGGCUCCGUUAGGCAUAAUCUACGUUAUUGGAACUGUUUAGAAACCAAAUUUUAUAUUUUUUCGACAUCAUUUACCAAGCGAUUACAGGAUCUCAAAAUUGACUAUUUUAACGGCCGAUGUGGCACGUUUUUAAAUUCAACGGUGUAGAAGUUUCCAAAUUAUAUAAAAUUUUUAUAAAAAAUUCUAUUUAACAUUAAGAGUAAGAACAAUACUUCCGAUUUAAAAUUUGAGUCUUUUAUCACUGUUUUUUAUGAUAUUUUUAUUUUCAGCCGUUCAUUUUGAGGCUACUCGUUUACUAGGCAAAUAAAGUCAAAAAAUUAUGAAAUUUGGUUUCUAAAUAGU